GGAGGGGUCAUCGACUUCUCUGUUACAGAUUGUUCGGAAGCCGAACUGGUAAUACUCAUGAUAGUUCAUGAAACUCUAAAAAAUUUGAAAAAUUCAAAGUAUUUGUGGCUCUGAUACCACGUCAAAAUUAGAGAAGAGCUUGAUCUUUUUUUUUUUUAACGGCAAACGGCUAUUCUAUUACUCAAACUUGAGGUGGUCUGGGAAGCCAGACCGGAAUAGAACAACCAAUAAAACAUAGGGAUCUAUGAAAAGAACGUGCAUUCCUAGCUAACGAAUCCGCAAUCUCGUUCUGCGUCCUUGGAACGUAGC
rnacentral:lncRNA from 1 species